CAAGUCGAACGGUAAGUCGAGUGCUUGCACUUGACACGAGUGGCGCACGGGUGCGUAACGCGUAUGCAACCUACCCUUUACAGGGGGAUAGCCCGGAGAAAUUCGGAUUAAUACCCCAUAGUAUUACAUGAUGGCAUCUGAAAGUAAUUAAAGAUUUAUCGGUAAAGGAUGGGCAUGCGUGACAUUAGUUAGUUGGUGAGGUAACGGCUCACCAAGACGAUGAUGUCUAGGGGUUCUGAGAGGAUGAUCCCCCACACUGGUACUGAGAUACGGACCAGACUCCUACGGGAGGCAGCAGUAGGGAAUAUUGGUCAAUGGGCGAGAGCCUGAACCAGCCAUGCCGCGUGCAGGAAGACGGCCUUCUGGGUUGUAAACUGCUUUUAUCAGGGAACAAAAAGCCCAUGCGUGGGAAAUUGCGUGUACCUGAAGAAUAAGCACCGGCUAACUCCGUGCCAGCAGCCGCGGUAAUACGGAGGGUGCAAGCGUUGUCCGGAUUUAUUGGGUUUAAAGGGUGCGUAGGUGGUCAAUUAAGUCAGUGGUGAAAUCCUACAGCUCAACUGUAGAACUGCCAUUGAUACUGGUUGACUUGAGUAUAGACGAGGUAGGCGGAAUUUAUGAUGUAGCGGUGAAAUGCAUAGAUAUCAUAAAGAACACCGAUAGCGAAGGCAGCUUACUAGACUAUAACUGACACUGAGGCACGAAAGCGUGGGGAGCGAACAGGAUUAGAUACCCUGGUAGUCCACGCUGUAAACGAUGAUUACUCGAUGUGUGCGAUACACAGUACGCGUCCAAGCG
rnacentral:rRNA from 1 species